rnacentral:rRNA from 1 species
AGGACGAACGCUGGCGGCGUGCUUAACACAUGCAAGUCGAACGAUGAACUCCAGCUUGCUGGGGGAUUAGUGGCGAACGGGUGAGUAACACGUGAGUAACCUGCCCUUGACUCUGGGAUAACCUCGGGAAACCGAAGCUAAUACCGGAUACGACAACCGACGGCAUCGUCUGGUUGUGGAAAGAACUUUGGUCAAGGAUGGACUCGCGGCCUAUCAGGUAGUUGGUGAGGUAACGGCCCACCGAAGCCUACGACGGGUAGCCGGCCUGAGAGGGUGACCGGCCACGACUGGGACUGAGACACGGCCCAGACUCCUACGGGAGGCAGCAGUGGGAAUAUUGCACAAUGGCGCAAGCCUGAUGCAGCAACGCCGCGUGAGGACGACGGCUUCGGGUGUAACCUCUUUAGUAGGUAAGAAGAGAAGUGACGUACC